rnacentral:rRNA from 1 species
AGGUAACCGUAAGGAGCCAGCCGCCGAAGGUGGGGUAGAUAACUGGGGUGAAGUCGUAACAAGGUAUCCGUACCGGAAGGUGCGGAUGGAUCACCUCCUUU